UGUGCAUUCAAGGGCUUUCCACUCACAC
rnacentral:piRNA from 1 species